rnacentral:tRNA from 1 species
GCACUAAUGGGGUAGUGGUAACCUGGGUCGUUGCCAUCGACCCGCCGCGAGUUCGAUUCUCGCUUAGUGCA